rnacentral:rRNA from 1 species
UGUUACUCUUCUUAACUUUCUUUGGAACAGUAAUUUUUUUUUGAAAUUUAACGGAUUUGGCGGCAAGAUAGCUUUUUAGAGGAACCUGCCCUGUAAACGAUGAACCACGAUUACCUUACUCUUUUUGGAAAACCAGUUUGUAUACCGCUGUUGUCAGUCAGAUUUUUGAAGAUAUUUUCUUUUUGUUAAAUUCAGUGACUUCAAGUAAAGGUGCAGCUCAUAUUAGAGAUAGAGGUGGGUUACAUUUAAAGGACUAAUACGGAUUAAGAUCUAGAAAAGACUUCUGAAGGUGGAUUUAACUGUAAAAUUUAAUAAGAUUUGGUGAUAGCUCUAUCUUGUG